GGUACUGCACAGAACAGACAUUGUGACAUAUAUCUAGGCAAAUUGCCUAGAAGUGAAUCCCCUCUCCUGCUUAAGUCCUUCCCACAGAGAGCGGUUUGAUAUGUCACUGAAACCAGCAUCCAGGUGGUAUUGCUCCAUAUGCCUGAGACCCUAACAAAAGCCUAAUUACAACUCAUAUGCCUGGAGCCAGGACAUGUGCAGGAUGCCAUGAUGGUCCAAGUUAUAUUGGGAUUCAGCCAAUAGAAGAUAUUUUGCCUGUCAUCCCUAAGCUUAGGACAAUAGGGUCCUGCCCACAAGAAAGAUUGUGACAUCUCACUGGACAAGCACCCACCCAGACUCUGCCAAGAGAGGGGAUUAUUACAUAUUGCAGAGCCCAGCACCUAGGUGGAGUGACUCUCAUCUUUUUCUUCUACCCCGUAUAUAGCCAGCUUGGUGACCUACUAUUUGAGUCUAUACCCAGGCCCAGACCACAGAUGAAAUUGUGCAAUAUGUGGAACAAACACCUAAACAAUAUAUAACACCUUCCUUGGCUCUGUCUACAAAGGGCACUUUUAUAUAUCACUGGGACCAUCAACCAGGUGAUGUUGUGCCAUAUAACUGAGACCGUAUCAAAAGCCUAAUAACAAGACGUAUGUCUGGAGCCCCGAUAUGCACAGGAUGGUGAUAUAACCCUCUUCUCUGGAAUGGGCCCCACACAAAGGAAGGAUAGUGACAUAUUGCAAGCCCAGGCACACAGGCCCAGAGCACAGUUGAAAUUGUGACAUAUGUACACCAAGCAACCAAGCAAUGUAUAACACCUCAUUUGGCAAUGGAAUCGAGGGCACUUUUACAUAUCACUGAGACCAGCGCCCAGCUGAUGUGAAAUAUUGGCCUGAACCCUGCCUACAAAAGCAUUGUGGCUUUUAUCUAGCUCCAUUACAUAAGUGAUGUGACUUCCUUCUACUGCCUUGGCCCUGCACUUAUGGUGAAUCGUGACACAAAAUUGGGUAGAGCAACCAGCCUGGGCCCUGACCAGCACAGAGAUUGAGGCAUAUUGCUGAACCCAGGACCAAGAUGAAGUCACUCUCCUGCCUUGAUCCUGCACACAGGGACCCUUGUGACAUAUAUACAGGCCAAUUGCCUAGGUGAUGUUGUGCAAUAUACCUGAGACCAGAUCAAUGGCCUAAUAAUGACUCUUUUACCUAGAGCCAGGACAUGUGCAGGAUGGUAACUCUCAUCCCUGAACCUUUCCACAGGUGUUAUUGUCACAUAUACCUUUUCCAGCUCCAAAGUGAUUUAAUAAUCCAGCCUAGUUAUAGCCCACAGAUAAUAUUUGGACAUAUACCUGAGUCAAGAACCUUGGUGAUUUGACUCUCAUGUCUUAACAGUGUCCUCAGAAGGGAUCAUAACAUAUCUCUGGACCCAUCA
rnacentral:lncRNA from 1 species